rnacentral:rRNA from 1 species
UACGUAGGGGGCGAGCGUUGUCCGGAAUGACUGGGCGUAAAGGGCGCGUAGGCGGCUUUUUAAGUUUGGAGUGAAAGUCCUGCUUUCAAGGUGGGAAUUGCUUUGAAAACUGGAGAGCUUGAGUGCGGAAGAGGUAAGUGGAAUUCCCAGUGUAGCGGUGAAAUGCGUAGAGAUUGGGAGGAACACCAGUGGCGAAGGCGACUUACUGGGCCGUAACUGACGCUGAGGCGCGAAAGCGUGGGGAGCGAACAGG